rnacentral:rRNA from 1 species
CGUGCUUAACACAUGCAAGUCGAACGGUGAAGCCCAGCUUGCUGGGUGGAUCAGUGGCGAACGGGUGAGUAACACGUGAGCAACCUGCCCCUGACUCUGGGAUAAGCGCUGGAAACGGCGUCUAAUACUGGAUAUGUGACUCGACCGCAUGGUCUGUGUCUGGAAAGAAUUUCGGUUGGGGAUGGGCUCGCGGCCUAUCAGCUUGUUGGUGAGGUAAUGGCUCACCAAGGCGUCGACGGGUAGCCGGCCUGAGAGGGUGACCGGCCACACUGGGACUGAGACACGGCCCAGACUCCUACGGGAGGCAGCAGUGGGGAAUAUUGCACAAUGGGCGCAAGCCUGAUGCAGCAACGCCGCGUGAGGGAUGACGGCCUUCGGGUUGUAAACCUCUUUUAGCAGGGAAGAAGCGAAAGUGACGGUACCUGCAGAAAAAGCGCCGGCUAACUACGUGCCAGCAGCCGCGGUAAUACGUAGGGCGCAAGCGUUAUCCGGAAUUAUUGGGCGUAAAGAGCUCGUAGGCGGUUUGUCGCGUCUGCUGUGAAAUCCGGAGGCUCAACCUCCGGCCUGCAGUGGGUACGGGCAGACUAGAGUGCGGUAGGGGAGAUUGGAAUUCCUGGUGUAGCGGUGGAAUGCGCAGAUAUCAGGAGGAACACCGAUGGCGAAGGCAGAUCUCUGGGCCGUAACUGACGCUGAGGAGCGAAAGGGUGGGGAGCAAACAGGCUUAGAUACCCUGGUAGUCCACCCCGUAAACGUUGGGAACUAGUUGUG